rnacentral:rRNA from 1 species
UAAGAAUUUAAAAGUCGAACAGACUUAUUGUUAAGAAUACUGCUUCUUAAAAUUUUCUUAAUUCAACAUCGAGGUCGCAAAAUACAAUAUAGAUAUGAACUCCCCAUUUAAAUUACGCUGUUAUCCCUAAGGUAACUUAAUCUUACUAUCCCAUAUAUUGAGGGUCUAAAAUUACAUAAAUAAAUGAAUAUUUAAACUAAAGUUUAUUAUUUAGCAACCACCCCAGCAAAAUAUAACUAAAUAUCAAAAAAUAUUAUUAAUAAAACUUAAUGACAUAAGAUUAUAUAAAGUUCUAUAGGGUCUUAUCGUCCCAAUAACUUUAUAAAGCAUUUUAACUUUAAAUUUAAAUUUUAACACUUAAAGAAAUAAAAUAUAAAUCUCAUACAUCCAUUCAUACAAGCUUUCAAUUAAAAAACUAAUUACUAUGCUACCUUUGCACAGUCAAAAUACUGCAGCCAUUUAGAAAUUUAUUAACCAUA